AGUACAAGGAAAGACUUAAGAAACCAUCUUGACAUACUUAUAUAGUACUUGCUUGUUCUUCUGCAGCCUUUAAUUAUUACAAGGUAUAGGAAUUUUCAGGUUCACGCAUCAGGAUUUGCCAAGAAGUAAGCUUCGACAGCCUUGAACAGUCCUUCGGUCUUCUUGCCAUCCUUCUUGAUUUGAUCCUCCUUGAUCUCAGCGCCAUCCUUUAUAUAGUACUUGCUUGUUCUUUUGCAGAUGGAUCCUCCCUCAGGAGUGGGCACAAACUUGUGCUCAAAAAUCACUUUCUCAACUCCCUCCAUCCAAACGUUAGAUUCAAUCAAACUGAAGCUGUAUGCGAAAUUCUCUUCAUCAAUUGUUUCAAUCUUCUGCUUCACGUAGGUGAGUCCUUUGCCUGCAAGUGAAAUCUACAGCGUUAUUUCUUUGUGCAACACAUAUAGCUAGCUAGUGAUACACUAAUUUCAAGGCCACCCUUUAUUUUGUUCUUCUUGGGUAAUAUAUAUAUAUAUAUAUAUUAGUUACAGCAAGUAGCUAAGAGAUGAUAGAAUUUAUAACUUGCCUUCAACAAAAGUGACCUUUCUUAUUGUUCCUGGCCCUCCGUUUCCUUCAAUUAUCUCAGAGCUUAUAAUAGCUUGCGGUAGAAUUUUAGGUAUAAGAGUAUCAGUCUCAAGGCAAUAGACCUUGAAGAGCUUGGCAGGAGGGACAGCGACAGAAAACUCAUUUUCAAAAGUGAUGAGACCCAUGAUAACCAAAUAUUAGUUACAAAGAUUACAGAAGAAAGAAAUUAGAGGGGGAAUUUGAAGCUAUGAAGGAUGGUUCUGGGGUGAAGAAAUGUGAGAAUUGGAGGAGGAAUUUAUAGGGUAAGUGUAUGAACGUCUCAUCUGGAUCAAAGUCCCUGUCCCCUUCAUCGUUCUUAUUUUUUGUAGAAUUAUUGUUUUGGUCAAUAUAAGCAGCUUUGAAUCUAGAGAAAUUAUAAAAUUCUCAAGUUGAAUAUAACUAAACAUCAUUUUGUAAGAAAAAUAAUCUGAACUAGAUUAAUUUAGCACGAAUUACGAGGACCGUUGUUGCAACCUCCAGUAAGAGAAUUAGGGGAAAAAAACUUAGUGCAUGGAUAAUUUGAUAGUUCUAAAGUCCCUUGCCUGCAAGUUGGAUCAAAGACGGUUUGCAAGUCCCUAGCUAUACACACUUGCAUAUAAAGCAAGAGGAUUGGAAUAUUUUGGAUAGUUUCUUUACUCCUCAUUGAGAGUAAAUUGCAGGCGCUGAAAAUCUAUCGUUUUCCAUGUUAAUUACUGUCACAAAAAGCUCUGACUUGGUCAAGUCCAGUGCCUUCAGAAAUUACAAGUAGAAGUCAAGUUAGAACUAGCAGCCAUCGAAGACGAUUAUGUAUUCAAUGGCCCAGAUAUUAAUUGCCCAUUUAAAAUCAAUAUUGCUAUUAUUCAAAAUAGAAUAUCAAUAUAUUCCCGAGAAAAUUAUUUAGAUUUUUAGUCUCAUAAAAAAUUUUUUGAUAUUCAAAUUUAAAAAUAAAUACGUACUUAUCUUUUUAUUAACAUUUACCAUAAGUGGAAGUCUAUCAUUUUAUGAUUACCACCGUCAUAACCAUUUUAUUAUUAAAGUAAUUAUUAUUAUAAUCAUUACUAAUAUUAUAAUUAUAAUUAUAAUUAUCUUUUCAUUAACAUCUACCAUUAAUACAAGUCUAUCAUUCUAUGACGACCACCAUCGUAACCAUUUUAUUAUUAAAGUAAUUAUUAUUCUAUUAUUAUUAAUAUUAUAGUUAUAAUUGUCAUUAUUACCACCGUUAUUAUUAUCUUAUCAUAAAUAUUGCAACUUUUCUUAUUUUAUUUUUGCUAUUCAAAAAUCAUGAAUACAAUAUAUAUAUAUAUAUAUAUAUAUAUAUAUAUAUAUAUAUAUAUAUAUAUAUCCAAAUAAUAAAAAUUAACUUAAAACAAAUAUCUUUAUACUAAACAAACUCCCCCUCAAACACAAGUUGGCUUUGAGUAUAUAUUAAAUUUUGUUGGAAAUUGGAAUGACUAAUUUCUUCAUUUUUGUUCUUUUUUUUACAGGGGGCUAAUUUUAUUUUAUUUUAAGCAUUAACUUGCCAUACUGGUGGGAUUGUUUUUCAAAGUAGUAGUC
rnacentral:lncRNA from 1 species